UUCAACAAGCCAUCUCCAAAGUCUCCCAGGGGACCUCCAAGAAUGUCAUCUUUUUUUCUGGAGGAAAAAUCCAAACCUAUGGCAGCCUUGCCAUACUCAGAAAGUCAAUAUCUUGGUUGGACACCACAUUUUCUUCUAUCACGGAAUCAUCCUCAUCGCCUCCCUGUGCCUCUCCCUCUCUUCCCUUUUCCUUCUCAAACUCUGAAUUUUUCAAGAAACAACCAAAGACUCAAGACCCAACACCCAUCACUCAUCUCCCACCCCGACCAGGGCUGCAGUCUUGUAAUCCAUGGCUGAUUACAACUACAAUCACAACAGAUCAAAGUCCUAUGGAGGACCCAAUAUGAUGCAGUUGCAGCCAUACUAUGGACCGCCGCCGCCACAAUCACACAGCGACCUCAGGUGCUACAGCGCAUCAUAUGCACAGACAGACGUGUGGGGCGCUUACAGCAACAGCAACUUCAACAGGGAUUUGAAGUUGAAGAAAGGGAAGAGCACAUCCGGGUCAACCUCAAAGUCAUGGAGCUUCAGCGACCCUGAGUUACAGAGGAAGAAGAGGGUGGCUAGCUACAAGAUGUAUGCAGUUGAAGGCAAGGUGAAAGGGUCUUUCAGGAAGAGCUUCAGGUGGCUCAAGGAUAGGUUCUCAUUCUCGUUGAAGUAGUUUAACAACUGCUGUGACAUCCUUCAUUGUGAAUUGGUGUACUUCUUCAUGAUUGAUCACGGAUAUUGCCUAUUGAUGUCCAUGAACACAACCUUCUCUGUCAAAGGACUGUCAAAGUGAUCUUUCCUGCAGCAACUCAAGGACGAAUUCUUUUGUUUUUCUUGAAUUAUCUGAUGUUCACUAUCGAUUAAGUUCAGGUGGAUUCAUCAUAAGCAAGGCCUGUCUUGUCGGAGAGUUAGCUAUAACUGGGUACCCUCCUGAAAACAUUGUCAUCAAGUCUAGUGUAUACUGCAGGAACACGGGUUCAGCCUAGCAAUAGCCAUUAGCAAAAUCUUUGCCAAGAUCAACAUGUUGAAUGUCGGCAACUGUUCUAAUAAGCAAAGGCGGGAUAUGCAUAUCGAUUUCAUCUCAUUCUUCGACAUCUCCAACUUCUUGGACCAUAACAUUGUGCUUGUGGCUCUACUGAUUGGUGUAGCAGCGCGGUAAGCGAUUCCAGCAAUGGCUUCUGCUUCAAUGCUUGCCAUGCCAUACAUGGGAUUCAAAUUGCAAGCAACCUUUUCAACAGGAUGGCCAAAUACUUUAGUUUUUCUCCUUUGAGACCUAUUUAAAUUAGCAGUCGUUUGAUGUGAUUUAGGUUAAGGAACUCUUCUGCUCAAAAUAAAUGGAGGUCAUGUCACCAAUUUUGUUUUCA